UCCCAGUGAUGAAUCAUUUAGUAAUCUGAGAUGUUAUAUGGAUUGGUGCUCCCUUUUACAAAAAGGUUGAGGAACCGUGUUAUUUCAGCAAUGUAGAUACUAGGCAUUCUGAGGGAU
rfam:Capsicum annuum cultivar Zunla-1 chromosome 1, whole genome shotgun sequence